GCCUGGGUGGCUCAGUCGGUUGAGCGUCCGACUUCAGCUCAGGUCACGAUCUCGCGGUCGUGAGUUCGAGCCCUGCAUCAGGCU
rfam:Felis catus isolate Cinnamon breed Abyssinian chromosome D2, whole genome shotgun sequence.